AUUUCUUUUAGUGUCUCUGGGUAAGGGAAAGGCUAGGUACCUACCAUGUAUGUGCUUAUUGUUCUAAUUCUCAUCACUCUUUGGAGAUGGGAAUUUGUAUCCCCUUCUACAGAUGGGGAAGCUGAGGCUCAGAGGGUUGAAUGGGCUCCCCAGGCUUACAUAGCUCGUGAGACACACAUAAGCACCCCAGUCAGAGGGUUGUGUGGCGCUUAAGCUCCAUGCAGUCUCUUUCCUCUGGGAGUUUGACUAGCCCAGCUCUGGGGUCCCCAUGCAAGGGCAGGGGCAGGGUGAACUGGGCUCCUCUUGAACCCCUCUUUGGCUGCCCCUGCCAGAGCCGGCCAGGUCACAGCGCGGACACACUCGCAGGUUGCUGUGGCCCCAGCCUCGCCUGACAGAAUGAGCGGCUCGGAUGGGGGACUGGAGGAGGAGCCAGAGCUCAGCAUCACCCUCACGCUGCGGAUGCUGAUGCACGGGAAGGAAGUGGGCAGCAUCAUCGGGAAGAAGGGCGAGACUGUAAAGCGAAUCCGGGAGCAGGUGAGGAUGGAGUUUGGGGGAGGAGCCCAGGGCACCUGAUGUGGAGGGGAGAUCCCUGCCCCACUUUCUCCCUGAACCACUCCUUCUGGGCUGACCAGUGAGUGCCCCAGAGGGUGGCAGUUUUGAGCCUUGCCUCGGGCCUAGUGAGUGGAGCAGGCAGACAAGUUCCGGCAAGGGAGCAGGGAAGAUGCCCCGCUGCCCGGCGCUCAUUCUGUAUCUGCAGAGCAGUGCCCGGAUCACCAUCUCCGAGGGCUCCUGCCCCGAACGCAUCACCACCAUCACCGGGUCUACAGCGGCUGUCUUCCAUGCAGUCUCCAUGAUUGCUUUCAAACUGGACGAGGACCUUUGUGCUGCUCCUGCAAAUGGUGGAAAUGUCUCCAGGCCUCCAGUGACCCUGCGCCUUGUCAUCCCUGCCAGUCAGUGUGGCUCACUGAUUGGGAAGGCUGGCACCAAGAUCAAGGAGAUCCGAGAGACUACGGGUGCCCAGGUACAGGUGGCAGGGGACCUGCUCCCCAACUCCACAGAGCGAGCUGUUACGGUGUCUGGGGUGCCUGAUGCCAUCAUCCUGUGUGUGCGCCAGAUCUGUGCUGUUAUCCUGGAGUCCCCACCCAAAGGAGCCACUAUCCCCUACCAUCCGAGCCUCUCCCUAGGUACUGUUCUUCUCUCUGCCAACCAGGGCUUCUCUGUCCAGGGUCAGUAUGGGGCUGUGACCCCAGCUGAGGUGAGUGACCCAUAGCCCAAGGCACCCCUUCCCGAACCAUGCCUCCUCUGACCUCUGACCCCUCUUUGGCACAGGUCACCAAGCUCCAGCAGCUCUCAAGCCAUGCGGUCCCCUUUGCCACACCCAGCGUGGUGCCAGGACUGGAUCCCGGCACACAGACCAGCUCACAGGAGUUCUUGGUUCCCAACGACUUGAUUGGCUGUGUGAUCGGGCGCCAGGGCAGCAAGAUCAGCGAGAUCCGGCAGAUGUCAGGGGCACAUAUCAAGAUCGGGAACCAAGCAGAGGGCGCUGGGGAGCGGCAUGUCACCAUCACUGGCUCUCCGGUCUCCAUCGCCCUGGCCCAGUACCUCAUCACUGCCUGUCUAGAGACGGCCAAGUCUACCUCUGGGGGGACGCCCAGCUCGGCCCCCGCAGACCUGCCUGCCCCCUUCUCGCCACCCCUGACGGCCCUGCCCACAGCUCCCCCUGGUCUGCUGGGCACACCCUAUGCCAUCUCCCUCUCCAACUUCAUCGGCCUCAAGCCCGUGCCCUUCUUGGCUCUACCACCUGCUUCCCCAGGGCCGCCGCCAGGCUUGGCGGCCUACACUGCCAAGAUGGCAGCGGCUAAUGGGAGCAAGAAGGCUGAGCGGCAGAAAUUCUCCCCCUACUGAGACCAGCUGAGGUACAGGCAGGGGCAGGCAGGACCACCAGCAGGGGGCUGCCUCCGCACCCUACCCGCCCAAGGAGACUCCACCCUGGGGUCCCAAACGCCGCUAACGCCCAGACGCAUGGAUGCACCCCCUACCCUGCCUCCGUCUAUGGGAGUUCUUUCUCUCAGAGUGGGGGCAGUUUCUGGCCCAGGGGUCUGAGCUGCGGCAGCCCCAGGGCAGGGGGCCCUACCUCCUCAGCUCUGUGCUUGGAUACAGGGAGCAGCCAGGAGACUCCCUAGUGCCCCCACCAUGGCGGGUGUCACUCACGCACUCCCCAUCCCUUAGGGCUUCCUGGCCUACUGCAUCCUUGUGGGAGUCAGGGAGGAGGGCCCGGGGGGUAGCUGGGGCCAGGCUUCUCUCCCCACCACCUGCAGAUUUCUCGCUGCUUCCACUGAUACCCUUUUGACUGGAAUGAACUGGCUGGGCUUGUCAGGGGGCACCCCAAAGAAGGGGCACUGCCAGGUAGCUGCGGGAGUGGCAUGGGGCAGGGGCCCAGUUCUCAGCAGCAGACACUCUGUACAGUUUUUUCAAUCCCUGUUUUUGAAUAAAUAUUCUCAGCGACCA
rnacentral:sRNA from 1 species